rnacentral:rRNA from 1 species
GAUGAACGCUGGCGGCGUGCCUAAUACAUGCAAGUCGAGCGAACGGACGAGAAGCUUGCCUCUCUGAUCUUAGCGGGGGACGGGUGAGUAACACGUGGAUAACCUACCUAUCAGACUGGGAUAACUUCGGGAAAACGGAGCUUAUACCGGACAAUAUUUUGAACCGCAUGGGUAAAAAGUGAAAGACGGUGUCGCGGUCACUUAUAGAUGGAUCCGUGCUGCAUUAGCGAGUUGGUAGGGUAACGGCUUACCAAGGCAACGAUGCAUAGCCGACCUGAGAGGGUGAUCGGCCACACUGGAACUGAGACACGGUCCAGACUCCUACGGGAGGCAGCAGUAGGGAAUCUUCCGCAAUGGGCGAAAGCCUGACGGAGCAACGCCGCGUGAGUGAUGAAGGUCUUCGGAUCGUAAAGCUCUGUUAUUGGGGAAGAACAUAUGUGUAAGUAACUGUGCACAUCUUGACGGUACCUAAUCAGAAAGCCACGGCUAACUACGUG